rnacentral:rRNA from 1 species
AUUGAACGCUGGCGGCAGGCCUAACACAUGCAAGUCGAGCGGAUGAAGGGAGCUUGCUCCUGGAUUCAGCGGCGGACGGGUGAGUAAUGCCUAGGAAUCUGCUUGGUAGUGGGGGAUAACGUCCGGAAACGGGCGCUAAUACCGCCUACGUCCUGAGGGAGAAAGUGGGGGAUCUUCGGACCUCACGCUAUCAGAUGAGCCUAGGUCGGAUUAGCUAGUUGGUGGGGUAAAGGCCUACCAAGGCGACGAUCCGUAACUGGUCUGAGAGGAUGAUCACGCACACUGGAACUGAGACACGGUCCAGACUCCUACGGGAGGCAGCAGUGGGGAAUAUUGGCCAAUGGGCGAAAGCCUGAUCCAGCCAUGCCGCGUGUGUGAAGAAGGUCUUCGGAUUGUAAAGCACUUUAAGUUGGGAGAAAGGGCAGUAAGUUAAUACCUUGCUGUUUUGACGUUACCAACAGAAUAAGCACCGGCUAACUACGUG